AGAGUUUGAUCAGUGGCUACGAGGACGAACGCUGGCGGCGUGCUUAACACAUGCAAGUCGAACGGUAAGGCCCUUCGGGGUACACGAGUGGCGAACGGGUGAGUAACACGUGGGUGAUCUGCCCUGCACUUCGGGAUAAGCCUGGGAAACUGGGUCUAAUACCGGAUAGGACCAUGGACUUCACGGUUUGUGGUGGAAAGCUUUUGCGGUGUGGGAUGGGCCCGCGGCCUAUCAGCUUGUUGGUGGGGUAAUGGCCUACCAAGGCGACGACGGGUAGCCGGCCUGAGAGGGUGUCCGGCCACACUGGGACUGAGAUACGGCCCAGACUCCUACGGGAGGCAGCAGUGGGGAAUAUUGCACAAUGGGCGCAAGCCUGAUGCAGCGACGCCGCGUGAGGGAUGACGGCCUUCGGGUUGUAAACCUCUUUCAAUAGGGACGAAGCGCAAGUGACGGUACCUAUAGAAGAAGCACCGGCCAACUACGUG
rnacentral:rRNA from 1 species